rnacentral:rRNA from 1 species
UACGAAGGGGGCUAGCGUUGCUCGGAAUCACUGGGCGUAAAGCGCACGUAGGCGGCUCUUUAAGUCAGGGGUGAAAUCCUGGAGCUCAACUCCAGAACUGCCCUUGAUACUGAGGAGCUUGAGUCCGGGAGAGGUGAGUGGAACUGCGAGUGUAGAGGUGAAAUUCGUAGAUAUUCGCAAGAACACCAGUGGCGAAGGCAGCUCGCUGGGACGGUACUGACGCUGAGGCGCGAAAGCGUGGGGAGCAAACAGG